rnacentral:rRNA from 1 species
GACGAACGCUGGCGGCGUGCCUAAUACAUGCAAGUCGAGCGAAGUUUUUCUGGUGCUUGCACUAGAAAAACUUAGCGGCGAACGGGUGAGUAACACGUAAAGAACCUGCCUCAUAGACUGGGACAACUAUUGGAAACGAUAGCUGAUACCGGAUAACAGUAUUUCUCGCAUGGGAGAUAUUUAAAAGUUGGUUAUGCUAACACUAUGAGAUGGCUUUGCGGUGCAUUAGCUAGUUGGUGGGGUAAAGGCCCACCAAGGCGACGAUGCAUGGCCGACCUGAGAGGGUGAUCGGCCACACUGGGACUGAGACACGGCCCAGACUCCUACGGGAGGCAGCAGUAGGGAAUCUUCCGCAAUGGGCGAAAGCCUGACGGAGCAACGCCGCGUGAGUGAAGAAGGAUUUCGGUUCGUAAAGCUCUGUUGUUAGGGAAGAAUGGAUAUGUAGUAACUAUACAUGUAAGAGACGGUACCUAACCAGAAAGCCACGGCUAACUACGUG